rnacentral:rRNA from 1 species
ACGGAGGAUGCGAGCGUUAUCCGGAUUCAUUGGGUUUAAAGGGUGCGUAGGCGGACUAUUAAGUCAGUGGUGAAAUCCUGCAGCUUAACUGCAGAACUGCCACCGAUACCGGCAGCCUUGAGUUUGGGAAAGGUAGACGGAAUGUGCAAUGUAGCGGUGAAAUGCGUAGAUAUCGGGAGGAACACCUGUGGCGUAAGCGGUUUCCUGGGCCGAUACUGACGCUGAUGCACGAAGGCGCGGGGAUCAAACAG